GACGUAGGAUGCAAGCGUUGUCCGGAAUUAUUGGGCGUAAAGCGUUCGCAGGUGGUUAGAUAAGUCUGGCGUUAAAGCCCGAAGCUCAACUUCGGCAAAGCGUUGGAAACUGUCUGACUAGAGUUCGGUAGGGGUAGCGGGAAUUCUCGGUGUAGCGGUGAAAUGCGUAGAUAUCGGGAAGAACACCGGCGGCGAAAGCGCGCUACUGGGCCGACACUGACACUCAUGAACGAAAGCCAGGGGAGCGAAAGGG
rnacentral:rRNA from 1 species